GACGAACGCUGGCGGCGUGCCUAAUACAUGCAAGUCGAACGCAGUGGGGACGGGUGAGUAACACGUGGGUAACCUCCCGUCAGAGGGGAUAACACUUGGAAACAGGUGCUAAACCGAUACUGAUGGAUGGACCCGCGGGGCAUUAGCUAGUGGGUGGGGUAACGGCUCACCAAGGCCACGAGGCAUAGCCGACCGGGUAGGGUGACCAGCCACACUGGGACUGAGACACGGACCAGACUCCUACGGUAGGCAGCAGUAGGGAAUCUUCGGCAAUGGGCGCAAGCCUGACCGAGCAAUGCCGCGUGAGUGAAGAAGGUUUUCGGAUCGUAAAAUUCUGUUGUUAGAGAAGCGGUAUCUAACCAGAAAGCCACGGCUAACUACGUGCCAGCAGCCGCGGUAAUAC
rnacentral:rRNA from 1 species